rnacentral:lncRNA from 1 species
AUGUGCAGUCUUUCCCUUCUGCCUAUAAUGCCCUGCCUUUCCUUUCUUUGCCAAACUCCUACUCAUCUUUUAGGUUUCAGCUCUCUGGUUGACUCCUCUCAGAAGCCUUCCUUGAUCUUCCUCCCCCCACCCAGGGUGCAACUCUUUGCAUCCCCAGGAAAGCGCAUGAUGCUGCAACAGGCUGAACUCAGAAAUGAAAACAACUACCUACCAUGAGUGAGACAAAGAAUGUUUCUUUGACCCAAAUCAAUCAAGUAUAAAGUCCUAUAAUUGCCAAUCCAGGUAUGCCAGUCCUAGUUCUUUCAAAAAAUAUUUUUUUUUUUACAUUUUUAAGUAGUCUCUACACCUACUGUGGGUCUUGAAUUCACAACCCAGAGAUUAAGAGUCACAGGCUCUACUGACUGAGCCAGCCAGGAGCCCCUUUAGAUACUGCUAAGCCACCCAGGCAUCCCUGUUCCUUCCUUUUAUUUUUUAUUUAUUUUUAUUAAAGAUUUUAUUUAUUUAUUCAUGAGAGACAGAGGGAGAGAGAAGCAGAGACACAGGCAGAGGGAGAAGCAGGCUCCAUGCAGGGAGCCCGAUGCGGGACUUGAUCCCCGGUCUCCAGGAUCAAUCCCUGGGCCGAAGGCAGGCGCUAAACCGCUGAGCCAUCCAGGGAUCCCUGUUCCUUCCUUUUAAAGGCAAUCUGUCUAAUGGGCCAGUCCAAGUGGUUCUGUGUAUCUUCCUGAAAUACAGACUGAGGUGUCCCCUGGUAUGUAAAAAGGACCCUCUAGUAAGAAGAUCACAUGUAAAGAGAAUUUGCAAUGAGAUGAAUUUGAGUGUCGCCUGGGUGGCUCAUCGGUUGAGCAUUUGCCUUCAGCUCAGGGCAUGAUCCCAGGGGAUCCAGGAAUCAAGUCCCACAUCAGGCUUCCUGCCCGGAGCCUACAUCUCCCUCUGCUUGUGUCUCUGCCUCUCCCUCUGUGUCUCUCAUGAAUAAAUAAAUAAAAUAUUUUUUAAAAACUAUUUAAAAAGAGAGGAAUUUGAAAGUUUUGAUGAGCUAUAAUGAUUAAUCCAAUAAGAAUCUAUAGU